UUAUAAAAUGUGUUAUUGCUUCAUUACUUGCACACAUUUGGUUCUGUCGCCUGGUGCAAUUUAAACACUACCACAUCUUUUGUUUUAAUCAAUAUUAAUAGCUUAGCUUCCUUAAUUUGUAUGCAAGAAUUUGACUCUGACAUUUAUUAUUAUAGUUACUGAAGACAAUCUUGUAUUCACAGCAUUGCAUCAAUACACUUUCAGUGAAUGAUCAUGUGUGUCUACAUUGGCAAGUGGCAAAUUGCAAAAUGAUGCAGUGCAGCAAAACAAAUGUCUUUUUGUAUUUGGCACACAAGUACGGUACACCAUUUCCUUUGCCUCUAAACAGAGAACUGGCAUGUUGUAAGUCUUUGCCAAAUUCUGUACAUCCCACUAAUACAAGAAAAAUGUGCCAUUCCAAUUAAAAUUGUUACAAACUACUUUAAAGGGACACUUUAGGCACCAAAACCUCUUUAGCUUAAUGAAGCAGUUUGGGUGUAUAGAGCAUGACCCUGCAGUCUCACUGCUUAAUUCUCUGCCGUUUAGGAGUUAAAUCUUUGUUUAUACAGCCCUAGUCACACCUCCCUAUAUGUGACUUCCACAGUCUUCCUA